rnacentral:rRNA from 1 species
GAUGAACGCUGGCGGCGUGCCUAAUACAUGCAAGUCGAACGCAGAAGCUUGGUGCUUGCACCGCGCGGGUGAGUUGCGAACGGGUGAGUAACGCGUGGGUAACCUGCCUGGUAGCCGGGGAUAACUAUUGGAAACGAUAGCUAAUACCGCAUAACAGUAGAUAUUGCAUGAUUUCUGCUUGAAAGGCGCAAUUGCUUUACUACCUGAUGGACCGGCGUUGUAUUAGCUAGUUGGUAAGGUAACGGCUCACCAAGGGAAGGGUACUUAGCCGACCUGAGAGGGUGACCGGCACACUGGGAACUAGACCACGCCCCAGCUCCCUCCGGGGGGCGCCGGAGGGGAACCUUGGGCAAGGGGGGAACGCUUACCGGACAACGCCGCCGGAGGUGAGAAGGUUCUCGGAUCGUAAAGCCCUUUUGUAAGGGAAGAACGAGAUGUAGAGUGGAAAGUGCACACUGUGACGGUAUCUUACCAGAAAGCGACGGCUAACUACGUG